GGGCUGCAGUCGAGAAUAUUCCUCAAUGGACGAAAGUCUGAAGGAGCGACGCCGCGUGCAGGAUGAAGGGCUUCGGCUCGUAAACUGCUUUUCUCAGGGAAGAACAUUGACGGUACCUGAGGAAUAAGAGGUUGCUAACUCUGUGCCAGCAGCAGCGGUAAUACAGAGACCUCAAGCAUUAUCCGGAUUUAUUGGGCGUAAAGGGUCCGCAGGCGGCCUGGUGCGUCGGAAGUUAAAUCUGCGAGCUCAACUCGUAGACCGCUUUCGAUACGACUAGGCUUGAGGCCGGGAGAGGUGAGCGGAAUUACCGGUGUAGGGGUCAUAUCCGUUAAUAUCGGUAAGAACACCAAAUGCGAAGGCAGCUCACUGGAACGAGCCUGACGCUCAGGGACGAAAGCGUGGGGAGCGAAAGGGAUUAGAUACCCGAGUAGUC
rnacentral:rRNA from 1 species